rnacentral:rRNA from 1 species
GAUGAACGCUGGCGGCGUGCCUAAUACAUGCAAGUCGAGCGAAGCGGGGACGGGUGAGUAACACGUGGAUAACCUCCUAUAAGACUGGGAUAACUUCGGGAAACCGGAGCUAAACCGGAUAAUUAGCGAUAGAUCCGCGCCGCAUUAGCUAUGUGGUAAGGUAACGGCUUACCAAGGCAACGAUGCUUAGCCGACCUGAGAGGGUUAUCGGCCACACUGGAACUGAGACACGGUCCAGACUCCUACGGGAGGCAGCAGUAGGGAAUAUUCAUCAAUGGGCGAAAGCCUGACGGAGCAACGCCGCGUGAGUGAUGAAGGUCUUCUGAUCGUAAAACUCUGUUAUUAGGGAAGCGGUACCUAAUCAGAAAGCCACGGCUAACUACGUGCCAGCCGCCGCGGUAAUAC